CAGCUACACAGCUCCGUGAGCAGAAGGAGGCGCGUUCAGGCUGCGACACAUCAUUUACAUCUGAAAGGCUUGUAUAAACACAUGUGCUACAAACAGAAACACUGUUUGAAACCCAAACAGAGACAGUGCUUCAGAAUCAAUAUGGAAGUAAGAACCCUACAAACGAAAGGGCAGUAUGUGCAGAUGACCUGCUGCUGAUUGGACCAGGGGAAGGGGUGGAAGUCACUCAAAGCCUGAGAGGCUGCACUAAAGAGGCAUUAACAGGACAUGUGUGAAGAAGUUUAAAAACAUAAAGAACGCUGACUGUG